rnacentral:lncRNA from 1 species
GGAAGACAUGCUUCAUGUACAUGUUACAAAUGUUAUAUAAUUCUAUUUUUCCUCCUUUCCAAUUAUUGAAGAAAAAGACUUGUGGGUAAGACUAUAACCCCUACUGCUUAUUAAAAAAUGGCUCUUACCAACUAAAGAGGAAAGAGUACAGAAAAUAUGGAAUAGAAAAUAAGGAAUAGAAGUGUUUCAUUUACUUCUACAUAAUGUUACAUAAUACAUAGUGUUAUAAUCCUGCUAAAAACUUGGUGUGUACGUGAAUCAAACUGGAAAGUACACUGGAGGUUCUGCUACAGAGAAUUUAGGGGCAAGUACUGGUGAAUCUCCAUUUUUCACAAGCUGCUCAAGAUAUUUCAAGGCUCUCUAAAGUAUAGGAACAAGUGGCAUAGUCCCUGGAGUGUUCAGAUAAUUAGUAAAUCCUGAGAGGAUUUAGUGGCGCUGUGAAUAUCUGCCAAGGAUGAAGGUUGAUUGCUGAGUUAGGACUAUAUUUUAAUUGGAACUUGAGAAAGAACAGAGUUUGAGACAGUGGAAGGAAUGAUAAAACAAGGCAGUCUGACCCCAGAGUAUCUACAAAGUCAGUAGAAUCUGCAGAUAAAAAUAAUCAUGCCUACAUUUUCUUCAUCAGGGAUCCUGAUUUUAAUUUCACAAAAGUCAUUUCAGUUGUGCUUGACUGCGAUCUACUAAACAAAUGAAGUUAUUAGACACCACCAACAACAAAGGCAUCACCUGGGGAGAGGAGACACUGAUGGCACAUUUGAAAAAUCUCAAGAAGUGCAUCCCUGGAACUAAAAAGUGAUCUUCCCUGGCAUUGAGAAGACAAGGCAAAGAACAGGUGUGAAGUUUAUCUCAAAAAAUGUACUAAGGAGUAAUAGUUGGUUGGCCACUGCCUUAUUUAUUACAAAAUAAAAAUGGCUCAUGACUUUUUUAAUGUAUACUGCAUUUAAAUUGAUCUUGUACACCAGAAUUCAGAUCAUGAAUGGCUGAUAGAAUAUUUCUCUUGGACAGUCUUAAUUUAAAUAAGAUUGACUUGUGGUUAAGUGAUCAGCUCUUUGAACUUUGAUAGUAAUUCUGGUUCAGCACAUUCAGAUUUUCACAGAGAUGGUAAAUACCAUCUCUAAAUCUGUAGGAGACUGGUUUUGUAUUUAGAUUUAUACAACUGGCUAUAAUAAUAUAUUUAAAUACUGACGAAACCCCUUCACCUGCCUCAUAGAACAGUAAGACUCAGCUGUGAUUCAAACUGUGUUCAUUUGUCUGUUAAAGGCAAGGGUUGAAGAUAAGCUGGUGAUGUCCACCUUAUCUCUGGUCUUAACUACGCCAAUCUAAUUAAAAUUCCCUGCAUCUAAAAUAUUGCCUUUUGCUGAAUGAAAGGCAUUUUAGUGUGAUUUAUGCAUAAUAUUAAAUAAAGAAUAUUUAACACUUCCCACAUUUUUAGAUGACUUAUAACGUUAGAUACUUUUAAAACUCAGUAUGACAAGAUAUAGUAGCAAACUUGUUCAUUCUUUAAGUCAGACUAAAUUAUAAUCAAGGUUGUCUUCUAAACAACUAUCCACAACUGUAGAAUUCUACACAACUGUAGAAUUAGUACAUGUAUGAUUGGUAAUGGUGCUUCUGUCAACUCGUUAGAAGGAUUAAUGUAGAAGAAAUAGAUAAUCGGCACAAAUUUGUAAAAUAUGUGAUAAGAUAAUUAAAAACAAAAUCAUAGAUAAAGAAAGCAUGGAAAAUUUUUUUGUUUUGCUUAGAGAAAGAUUUCGUAUAUUGAAAGCAUUACGUUAAAAAGAUUAAAAUGAAUAAAGCAUUAAAGAAAAAAAAUAUAAAUUGAAUUUCAUCAAAAUCUAAAACUUCUGCCUUUGAAAGACCAUAAAGGAAAAGACAAGAG